GGCUCAUUAAAUCAGUAUCGUUUAUUGAUAGUACCUUACUACUUGGAUAACCGUGGUAAUUCUAGAGCUAAUACAUGCUAAAAAUCCCGACUUACGGAGGGAUGUAUUUAUUAGAUUAAAAACCAAUGCCCUUUCGGGGCUCCUUGGUGAUUCAUAAUAACUUCUCGAAUCGCAUGGCCUUGUGCCGGCGAUGGUUCAUUCAAAUUUCUGCCCUAUCAACUUUCGAUGGCAGGGUCUUGGCCUGCCAUGGUUACAACGGGUAACGGAGGGUUAGGGCUCGACCCCGGAGAAGGAGCCUGAGAAACGGCUACUACAUCCAAGGAAGGCAGCAGGCGCGCAAAUUACCCAAUCCCGAUUCGGGGAGGUAGUGACAAUAAAUACUGAUACAGGGCUCUUUCGGGUCUUGUAAUUGGAAUGAGUACAAUUUAAAUCCCUUAACGAGGAACAAUUGGAGGGCAAGUCUGGUGCCAGCAGCCGCGGUAAUUCCAGCUCCAAUAGCGUAUAUUAAAGUUGUUGCAGUUAAAAAGCUCGUAGUUGAACCUUGGGCCUGGCUGGCCGGUCCGCCUCACCGCGUGCACUGGUUCGGCCGGGCCUUUCCCUCUGGGGAUCCUCAUGCCCUUCACUGGGUGUGGUGGGGAACCAGGACUUUUACUGUGAAAAAAUUAGAGUGUUCAAAGCAGGCCUAUGCUCGAAUACAUUAGCAUGGAAUAAUAAAAUAGGACGUGCGGUUCUAUUUUGUUGGUUUCUAGGACCGCCGUAAUGAUUAAUAGGGACAGUCGGGGGCAUCAGUAUUCAAUUGUCAGAGGUGAAAUUCUUGGAUUUAUUGAAGACUAACUACUGCGAAAGCAUUUGCCAAGGAUGUUUUCAUUAAUCAGGAACGAAAGUUAGGGGAUCGAAGACGAUCAGAUACCGUCGUAGUCUUAACCAUAAACUAUGCCGACUAGGGAUCGGACGAUGUUAUUUUUUGACUCGUUCGGCACCUUACGAGAAAU
rnacentral:rRNA from 1 species